UUCGGGUGAGUAAAGUGGCGGACGGGCGAGUAACACGUAAUCAAGCUGCCCGCGAGACGGGGAUAACCUUGGGAAACCGAGGCUAAUACCCGAUGGCCUGACCGGUUCGCAUGGACUGGUUAGUAAAUGGAUGGGAUCCUUCGGGACCAUCUGCUUGCGGAGGUGAUUGCGCCCCAUCAGCUUGUUGGUAGGGUAGCAGCCUACCAAGGCAAUGACGGGUAGCCGGCCUUAGAGGGUGGUCGGCCGCACUGGGACUGGGACACUGCCCAGACUCCUACGGGAGGUUGCAGUCGAGAAUCUUCCGCAAUGGACGAAAGUCUGGCGGAGCGACGCCGCGUGGAGGAUGAAGGCCUUCGGGUUGUAAACUCCUGUCACGAGUUAAGAACGAGCUGCGGUGAAUAGCCGUAGUUUUUGACGUAAGCUCGAGAGGAAGCACUGACUAACUCUGUGCCAGCAGCCGCGGUAAUACAGAGAGUGCAAACGUUGUUCGGAAUCACCGGGCUUAAAGCGCGCGUAGGCGGCAUUGUUAGUGUCGGGUGAAAGCCCACGGCUCACCCGUGGAACUGCCCGGCAAACUGCAGUGCUAGAGUGUGGUAGGGGAGAGCGGAACUCAUGAUGGAGCGGUGAAAUGCGUAGAUAUCAUGAGGGACACCGGUGGCGAAGGCGGCUCUCUGGUCCACAACUGACGUUGAGGUGCGAAAGCUAGGGUAGCGAACGGGAUUAGAUACCCCGGUAGUCCUAGCCGUAAACGAUGGGUACUAGCUUGGGGUCUCCCUGUGUGAUCCCAGGUGAAGCAAAAGUAAUAAGUACCCCGCCUGGGGAGUAUGGUCGCAAGGCAAGG
rnacentral:rRNA from 1 species